CGCUACCUUCGGGUGGAGCGGCGGACGGGUUAGUAACGCGUGGGAAACAUACCCUUUUCUAAGGAAUAGCCACUGGAAAACGGUGAGUAAUACCUUAUAAGCCCUUCGGGGGAAAGAUUUAUCGGUAAAGGAUUGGCCCGCGUUAGAUUAGAUAGUUGGUGGGGUAAUGGCCUACCAAGUCUACGAUCUAUAGCUGAUUUGAGAGGAUGAUCAGCAACACUGGGACUGAGACACGGCCCAGACUCCUACGGGAGGCAGCAGUGGGGAAUCUUAGACAAUGGGCGCAAGCCUGAUCUAGCCAUGCCGCGUGAGUGAUGAAGGCCCUAGGGUCGUAAGGCUCUUUCGCCAGGGAUGAUAAUGACAGUACCUGGUAAAGAAACCCCGGCUAACUCCGUGCCAGCAGCCGCGGUAAUACGGAGGGGGUUAGCGUUGUUCGGAAUUACUGGGCGUAAAGCGUACGUAGGCGGAUUAGUAAGUUAGAGGUGAAAUCCCGGGGCUCAACCCCGGAACUGCCUUUAAUACUGCUAGUCUUGAGUUCGAGAGAGGUGAGUGGAAUUCCAAGUGUAGAGGUGAAAUUCGUAGAUAUUUGGAGGAACACCAGUGGCGAAGGCGGCUCACUGGCUCGAUACUGACGCUGAGGUACGAAAGUGUGGGGAGCAAACAGGAUUAGAUACCCUGGUAGUCCACACCGUAAACGAUGAAUGCCAGACGUUGGAUAGCAUGCUAUUCAGUGUCACACUAACGGAGUAAGCAUCCGCUGGGGAGUACG
rnacentral:rRNA from 1 species